rnacentral:rRNA from 1 species
CCUACGGGCGGCAGCAGUGAGGAAUAUUGGUCAAUGGCCGAAAGGCUGAACCAGCCAAGCCGCGUGAGGGAAGAAUGUCCUAUGGGUUGUAAACCUCUUUUGUCAGGGAGCAAAGUCACGCACGUGUGGGUGUUGGAGAGUACCUGAAGAAAAAGCAUCGGCUAACUCCGUGCCAGCAGCCGCGGUAAUACGGAGGAUGCGAGCGUUAUCCGGAUUUAUUGGGUUUAAAGGGUGCGUAGGCGGGUUAUAAAGCCAGCGGGAAAAUCGUGGAGCUCAACUCCAUCCAGCCGUUGAAACUGAUGAUCUUGAGUGGGCGAGAAGGAUGCGGGAUGGGGGGUGGAGGGGGGAAAUGC